rnacentral:rRNA from 1 species
GACAGAGGUCCCGAGCGUUAGGCGGAAUCACUGGGCUUAAAGCGUGUGUAGGCGGAUCGUUAAGUGCCUUGUGAAAUCCCAUGGCUUAACCAUGGAACUGCUUGGCAUACUGGCGGUCUUGAGCCACUUAGGGGCAACCGGAACAAAUGGUGGAGCGGUGAAAUGCGUAGAUAUCAUUUGGAACGCCAAUGGUGAAAACAGCUCGCUGGGGAUGUAUUGACGCUGAGACACGAAAGCCAGGGGAGCAAACGGG